GAAGACUCUCGGCAACGGAUAUCUCGGCUCUCGCAUCGAUGAAGAACGCAGCGAACCGCGAUACGUGGUGUGAAUUGCAGAAUCCCGCGAAUCAUCGAGUCUUUGAACGCAAGUUGCGCCCGAGGCCAAGUGGCCGAGGGCACGCCUGCCUGGUGGUCAUGC
rnacentral:rRNA from 1 species